rnacentral:rRNA from 1 species
UACGAAGGGGCUAGCGUUGUUCGGAAUUACUGGGCGUAAGCGCGCGCAGGCGGCUAUCCAAGUCAGUGGUGAAAGCCCGGAGCUCAACUCCGGAACUGCCAUUGAACUGUUAGCUUGAGGACGAGAGAGGUGAGUGGAAUUCCCAGUGUAGAGGUGAAAAUUCGUAGAUAUUGGGAAGAACACCGGUGCGAAGGCGGCUCACUGGCCCGAGUACUGACGCUGAGGCACGAAAGCGUGGGGAGCAACAGGG